UACGUAGGGUGCGAGCGUUUAAUCGGAAUUACUGGGCGUAAAGCGUGCGCAGGCGGUUCGUUGUGUCGGUGGUGAAAUCCCCGGGCUUAACCUGGGAAUGGCCAUGGAAACUGGCGAACUGGAGUGCGGCAGAGGGGGGUGGAAUUCCGCGUGUAGCAGUGAAAUGCGUAGAGAUGCGGAGGAACACCGAUGGCGAAGGCAGCCCCCCUGGGCUAGCACUGACGCUCAGGCACGAAAGCGUGGGGAGCAAACAGG
rnacentral:rRNA from 1 species